ACGUAGGGUGCAAGCGUUAAUCGGAAUUACUGGGCGUAAAGCGUGCGCAGGCGGUUUUGUAAGCCAGAUGUGAAAUCCCCGAGCUUAACUUGGGAACUGCGUUUGGAACUGCAAGACUAGAGUGUGUCAGAGGGGGGUAGAAUUCCACGUGUAGCAGUGAAAUGCGUAGAGAUGUGGAGGAAUACCGAUGGCGAAGGCAGCCCCCUGGGAUAACACUGACGCUCAUGCACGAAAGCGUGGGGAGCAAACAG
rnacentral:rRNA from 1 species